CUCCUCCUCCUCCUCCUGGCAGCCCUCCCAGGGCUGCGGGCGGCCGUGCAGCUGGUCGAGUCCGGAGGGGGCCUCCAGCCACCCGGGGGGUCCCUCACCCUCCUCUGCAAGGCCUCCGGCUUCACCUUCAGCAGCUACAGCAUGCUCUGGGUGCGACAGGCACCCGGGAAGGGGCUCGAGUGGGUCGCAACUAUUUACAGCGAUGGCAGCAACACAUGGUACACGUCGGCGGUGCAAGGGCGCUUCACCAUCUCCAGGGACAACUCCCAGAGCACGCUCAAGCUGCAGAUGAACAGCCUCAGGGCCGACGACACGGCCACCUACUACUGCGCAAAAAGUACUGGUGCUUGUGGUUAUGGUUAUACUGGUGGUGGUGCUGGUUAUGGUGGUGGCCCCGACCGCGGCACCGUGUCCCCACAUCCCCGCGCUGGGUCCCCAAAUCUUCCCAAAUCCCCUGAACCAGCCUGGACCCUGCACCCAGCCCACGUCCUUGACCCAACCCUCAACCUUCUUUGCCCCAAACCUCAACCUUUUGCAUCAAGCUUUGACCAUUUCCCUCCAACCUGCACCACUGAAUCCGUGUCUUGA